GAAAAAAAAGAGAAAAAAAAGAAGGCAUAAGGUCUCUCUUCUUCAUUGACAAACACGAGGAACAAUGGCUAUCAAAGGGGACAACUUUUCCACAUUGUGUGCUUUACUUUGGUUCUUUAUCUGAACUCUUUCUUUGGUCAAAAGAGUAACAUUCUUCUCCAUCGUCAUCAUCACCAUCACCGUCAUCAUCAAACACAUUAUGAAGAUCCAAUCUUCUUCCCUAUUACCAAUGCUCUCCUCUCUAACUCAUUAACAGCUUCCUCUUGAAGCUCCAAAAAAGAAAUGAAUGGAAUGAUCAACCCCAGACCAAGAAAAAAGCAAAGAAUUAAAAGCGACAAAAAGGGAUAAUCAUCACUUGUACAUGAACAGUAGGGUCUUCAGCCAAUUUUGCCAAAGCAAUGCACGGAAGAAAAAGAAAAUUAUUAAAAAGGGAAAAUAGAAAAAGACAUGUAAGAAUGGGUUAGCUCAGAACCAUACCUAGUUAUUGGCACACGGAAGGAAGGAGGCUGGAAGAGGAGAAAAAGAAAUGCUAUCCUCUGCCUGCACAGAGGGUCUUCUUCACUUCUCUUCUUUCGGGAC
rnacentral:misc_RNA from 1 species